UUAAGAAUGUGUUUAACAUUCUAUCCCAGACAAUGUGAUGGUCAUGAAGUCUCUGUCAGAGAGGAAAGAGGGAGUUAAUCUAUAAUGAAGAUCAACAGUGAAGAGGAAAGGGGUCUUCCCUGGAACGCUUCAGUCAUAUACGACAUUUUACACAACAAUAAUGGACCUGUGUAAGGAGGUAUGUGUGGGAGAAGAUUCCAGAAGGUCUUGAGACACUCCAGAUGAAGGUUGGUGUGGGGCUGUGCUGCUGGAGCACCAGAGAGUGAAAAGAGGUUAUCUCCCUCUGUGCCAGGCCAGAGUGCAGUGGUGCAAUCACGGCUCACUGUAGUCUCAACCUCCUGGGCUCAAGAGAUCCUCCCACUUCAGCCUCCCAAGCAGCUAAGACUACAGGCACGUGUCAUCAUAUCUGGCAAAUUAAAAAAAAAAUUAUAGAGAUGGGCUCUCCCUGUGUUUCCCUGGUUGGUCUCAAACUCCUGGGCUCAAGUGAUCCUCCCAUCUUGGCCUCCCAACUUACUGGGAUUACAGGCAUUUGCCACUGUGCCCAGCCCAUUUCAAUAUUUCUGAUCAAUAAAUGUGCCUGUCCUUCAGAUUCUCCUUUGAAUUGGCUGUCACACCUCUUCAGUUUCUUCACUGAGGAGUUAAACAUAAUCUUGAGCAGCACGUGAUAUUGUUUAGCUCUGUGUCCCCACCAAAUCUCAUCUUGAAUCGUAAUCCCCCUGUGUGUCAAGGGAUGGACCUGGUAGGGGAUGAUUGGAUCAUGGGGGGUGGUUUUCCCCAUGGUGUUCCCAUAUAGUGAAUGAGUUCUCACGAGAUCUGAUGGUUUAAAAGUGUUUGGCAGUUCCCCCUUCUCUCUCUCUCUCUCUCUCUCUCUCUCUCUCUCUCUCUCUCUGGCCACUUUGUGAAAAAGGUGCUCGCUUUUCCUUCGCUUUCUGCCAUGAUUGUAAGUUUCCUGAGGUCUCCCCAGCGAUGUGGAACUGUGAGUUAAUUAAACCUCUUUCCUUUAUAAAUUACCCAGUUUCAGGUAGUUCUUUAUAGCAGUGUGCAAAUG
rnacentral:lncRNA from 10 species